UACCAGCACCCCGAGUGGUCGGGACGAUUAUUGGGCCUAAAGCAUCCGUAGCCGGUUUUACAAGUCCUCAGUUAAAUCCAGCUGCUUAACAGAUGGGCUGCGGAGGAUACUAUAAGACUAGGAGGCAGGAGAGGCAAGCGGUACUCAGUGGGUAGGGGUAAAAUCCGUUGAUCCAUUGAAGACCACCAGUGGCGAAGGCGGCUUGCCAGAAUGCGCUCGACGGUGAGGGAUGAAAGCUGGGGGAGCAAACCGG
rnacentral:rRNA from 1 species